GUAAUGCUGAUGUCGCAGGCUUGGGGACCACACCGUGAGUACCAUUCUCUCUAACACAUCUCCAAGAACCAAGAGAUGCCUCAUCUCUUCAUCCUACAAAACCUCCCUGUCUCCACCCAUGGUUGUUCACGCCGCUCCACAGAACAAUCCUUGCAUGGCCCUGCAUGGCGUGUGGUGUCUUUUCCAGGGCUGAGAGCACAUCCAACUAAAGAGUCACUGUCAAUCUCAUAUGUUCGUGUCCAACCACCCCCACAACCCCGGAGCAGAAAUCCCCCUCACCACUGGGAUGAAGAGGAGGCAAUUAAAACAUUUCCCAUUACAGAUGGAGCCUGCCGUUGGAAGCUCGUGUCUCAAAGUCCAUGAGAGGAAUGGCCCUGAACCUUUCC